GGGGAAUAUUGCACAAUGGGGGAAACCCUGAUGCAGCGACGCCGCGUGAGUGAAGAAGUAUUUCGGUAUGUAAAGCUCUAUCAGCAGGGAAGAUAAUGACGGUACCUGACUAAGAAGCCCCGGCUAACUACGUGCCAGCAGCCGCGGUAAUACGUAGGGGGCAAGCGUUAUCCGGAUUUACUGGGUGUAAAGGGAGCGUAGGCGGUCUGGCAAGUCAGAUGUGAAAGCCCGGGGCUCAACUCCGGGACUGCAUUUGAAACUGUCCGACUAGAGUGCAGGAGAGGUAAGUGGAAUUCCUAGUGUAGCGGUGAAAUGCGUAGAUAUUAGGAGGAACACCAGUGGCGAAGGCGGCUUACUGGACUGUAACUGACGCUGAGGCUCGAAAGCGUGGGGAGCAAAC
rnacentral:rRNA from 1 species